UAGCGUAGUAGUUAAAGUUUAACGUUUGUUUUACACACAAAAGAUGAAGUAAGGUUUGAGUAUGCUUCCGGCGCCAU
rnacentral:tRNA from 1 species